AAGCAUGAUCGCAAGGACAUGUGGAGCGCUUAGAAGUGAGAAUGCCGGUGUGAGUAGCGAAAGACGGGUGAGAAUCCCGUCCACCGAUUGACUAAGGUUUCCAGAGGAAGGCUCGUCCGCUCUGGGUUAGUCGGGUCCUAAGCUGAGGCCGACAGGCGUAGGCGAUGGAUAACAGGUUGAUAUUCCUGUACCACCUAGUAUCGUUUUAAUCGAUGGGGGGACGCAGUAGGAUAGGCGAAGCGUGCUAUUGGAUUGCACGUCCAAGCAGUAAGACUGAGUGUUAGGCAAAUCCGGCACUCAUAAGGUCAAGCUGUGAUGGGGAGAGGAAAUUAUUUCCUCGAGUCGUUGAUUUCACACUGCCAAGAAAAGCCUCUAGAUAGAUAACAGGUGCCCGUACCGCAAACCGACACAGGUAGUCAAGAUGAGAAUUCUAAGGUGAGCGAGCGAACUCUCGUUAAGGAACUCGGCAAAAUGACCCCGUAACUUCGGGAGAAGGGGUGCUCUUUAGGGUUAACGCCCAGAAGAGCCGCAGUGAAUAGGCCCAAGCGACUGUUUAUCAAAAACACAGGUCUCUGCUAAACCGUAAGGUGAUGUAUAGGGGCUGACGCCUGCCCGGUGCUGGAAGGUUAAGAGGAGUAGUUAGCUUCUGCGAAGCUACGAAUCGAAGCCCCAGUAAACGGCGGCCGUAACUAUAACGGUCCUAAGGUAGCGAAAUUCCUUGUCGGGUAAGUUCCGACCCGCACGAAAGGCGUAACGAUUUGGGCACUGUCUCAACGAGAGACUCGGUGAAAUCAUAGUACCUGUGAAGAUGCAGGUUACCCGCGACAGGACGGAAAGACCCCGUGGAGCUUUACUGUAGCCUGAUAUUGAAAUUCGGCACAGCUUGUACAGGAUAGGUAGGAGCCUUUGAAACGUGAGCGCUAGCUUACGUGGAGGCAUUGGUGGGAUACUACCCUAGCUGUGUUGGCUUUCUAACCCGCACCACUUAUCGUGGUGGGAGACAGUGUCAGGUGGGCAGUUUGACUGGGGCGGUCGCCUCCUAAAAGGUAACGGAGGCGCUCAAAGGUUCCCUCAGAAUGGUUGGAAAUCAUUCAUAGAGUGUAAAGGCAUAAGGGAGCUUGACUGCGAGACUUACAAGUCGAGCAGGGUCGAAAGACGGACUUAGUGAUCCGGUGGUUCCGCAUGGAAGGGCCAUCGCUCAACGGAUAAAAGCUACCCCGGGGAUAACAGGCUUAUCUCCCCCAAGAGUUCACAUCGACGGGGAGGUUUGGCACCUCGAUGUCGGCUCAUCGCAUCCUGGGGCUGUAGUCGGUCCCAAGGGUUGGGCUGUUCGCCCAUUAAAGCGGUACGCGAGCUGGGUUCAGAACGUCGUGAGACAGUUCGGUCCCUAUCCGUCGUGGGCGUAGGAAAUUUGAGAGGAGCUGUCCUUAGUACGAGAGGACCGGGAUGGACAUACCUCUGGUGUACCAGUUGUCGUGCCAACGGCAUAGCUGGGUAGCUAUGUAUGGACGGGAUAAGUGCUGAAAGCAUCUAAGCAUGAAGCCCCCCUCAAGAUGAGAUUUCCCAACUUCGGUUAUAAGAUCCCUCAAAGAUGAUGAGGUUAAUAGGUUCGAGGUGGAAGCGUGGUGACACGUGGAGCUGACGAAUACUAAUCGAUCGAAGACUUAAUCAAAA
rnacentral:rRNA from 1 species